rnacentral:rRNA from 1 species
GGGUAAGCUCAAGUUUAAAACCUGUUUGUCCUAGACAAACCGGAUUGUAAACUAAGGACGUGCUAUCCAGGCUCUUUGGACCUUCAAGUCCUUUGGAAUAAGGCUUCACAGAGGGUGACAAUCCCGUAGAGGGUCUUGAAAGAGUCUAUUGCGAUGCAUGCUCCAAGAGUCAGGUUGUUUGGGAAUGCAGCCUAAAGUGGGAGGUAAAUCCCUCCUAAAGCUAAAUAUUGGCGAGAGACCGAUAGCAAACAAGUACCGUGAGGGAAAGUUGAAAAGGACUUUGAAAAGAGAGUCAAAAGUACGUGAAAUUGCUUAAAGGGAAGCGUUUGGAGCUAGUUUGGCUAGUCUGUUAUCAGCCUGAGCUUCGGCUUUGGUGUACUAUCAGGCUAUUUGCCGGCCAACUUUCAGGAUUGGAAGGAAAGCUUAGUGCUUUGGAGUCUAAAGAGACCUUUGCGGAAGCCUCUGGUGGAGCGUUGGUCUGCCUUGGCCCUUCUGAACCUAUAGUUGGCUUAAUGGCUCUAAACGGCCCGUCU